rnacentral:rRNA from 1 species
CCUACGGGAGGCAGCAGUCGGGAAUAUUGCGCAAUGGAGGAAACUCUGACGCAGUGACGCCGCGUGCAGGAAGAAGGUUUUCGGAUUGUAAACUGCUUUUGACAGGGAAGAAAAAAGAGAGUACCUGUAGAAUAAGCUCCGGCUAACUACGUGCAAGCAGCCGCGGUAAUACGGAGGGGGCAAGCGUUAUCCGGAUUUAUGGGGUGUAAGGGGUGCGUAGGCGGGUAAGAAAGUCAGUGGUGAAAUCCUUCGGCUUAACUGAGGAACUGCAUCUAAAACUACUUUCCUUGAGUACUGGAGAGGAAGGUGGAAUUCCUGGUGUAGCGGUGAAAUGCGUAGAGAUUAGGAGGAAUACCAGUGGCGAAGGCGACUUGCUGGACAGUAACUGACGUUGAGGCACGAAAGUGUGGGGAGCAAACAGGAUUAGAUACCCUGGUAGUC